rnacentral:tRNA from 1 species
UGGCAGAGUGGUUAAGAGUUUGGCUGCUAACCAAAAGGUCGGCAGUUCAAAUCCGCC